AGUCCUGUUAUUCGGUGUUUUCUGACAGCUUUCCCUGCAAGGGGCGAGGGAACUAAGGAAACUAACCACUGGCCAAGUUCAAGCACUGAGGGGAACAGGAAGCCUGUCUCUUCAGCCUGGAGAGAGGACUUUUGGGGCAUAGGAGGAGGUGCGCCGGGGUCAGGCCCCGCCUAUAGCCAAGGGAGAGAGCUGAAGGGAAGGUCUCCGUCCUCACCCCCACCUGCAUCCAGAGACAAACUUCAGGUAAGCCCUCCUGGGCUGGGGCCCUCUUGUAAGAUGAAAGUCUCCCUGGGAGAGGUGGGGCACUGUGAUCAAAACCUCAGCAUGAAUGAUUUUUUAUAUCACCCUGUGUAAGAGUGCAGGGGAGCAGAGACCCUGGGGGCAAGGGGCCCCAUUCCUGGCACCCGCCCAAAUGACCUCCAACUGGAAAACUGCCCUCUAAUUAGCAAUCAGGAAAUGAAGGUAUAGCACAGCGCCAAGGAGCACGACCCCGGCUGUAGCCUGGUGACAUUCCAGCCCUUGAGAUAGCAUGCCCCUGCCCCCGCACCGCAGGGCUGCAGACUCUGUGGGUUAUUUUUAUCUAAGGGCGCUAUUGUUGGUUGUGUGGUAGCUGCUGUGGUGGGUCCCAGCAGCGGUGAGCUUGCAGCCAGGAUUUCCUGUGCAG
rnacentral:lncRNA from 1 species